rnacentral:rRNA from 1 species
AGUGAACGCUGGCGGUAGGCCUAACACAUGCAAGUCGAACGGCAGCACAGUAAGAGCUUGCUCUUACGGGUGGCGAGUGGCGGACGGGUGAGGAAUACAUCGGAAUCUACUUUUUCGUGGGGGAUAACGUAGGGAAACUUACGCUAAUACCGCAUACGACCUACGGGUGAAAGCAGGGGAUCUUCUGACCUUGCGCGAUUGAAUGAGCCGAUGUCGGAUUAGCUAGUUGGCGGGGUAAAGGCCCACCAAGGCGACGAUCCGUAGCUGGUCUGAGAGGAUGAUCAGCCACACUGGAACUGAGACACGGUCCAGACUCCUACGGGAGGCAGCAGUGGGGAAUAUUGGACAAUGGGCGCAAGCCUGAUCCAGCCAUACCGCGUGGGUGAAGAAGGCCUUCGGGUUGUAAAGCCCUUUUGUUGGGAAAGAAAAGCAGCAGGUUAAUACCCCGCUGUUCCGACGGUACCCAAAGAAUAAGCACCGGCUAACUUCGUG